rnacentral:rRNA from 1 species
CUACGGAGGGAGCAAGCGUUAUUCGGAAUCACUGGGCGUAAAGGACGCGUAGGCGGGUUUGUAAGUCAGGUGUGAAAUCCUACAGCUCAACUGUAGAACUGCACUUGAAACUACAGACCUAGAGUAUGGAAGGGGCAGAUGGAAUUAGUGGUGUAGGGGUAAAAUCCGUAGAUAUCACUAGGAAUACCGAAAGCGAAGGCGAUCUGCUGGGACAUUACUGACGCUGAGGCGUGAAAGCGUGGGGAGCAAACAGGAGUAGAAACCCUUGUAGUCC